GUAAUUAUAGUUUAAUUAAAACAUUAGAUUGUGAAUCUAAUAAUAGAAGAAUUUAAACUUCUUACUUACC
rnacentral:tRNA from 1 species